rnacentral:rRNA from 1 species
GACAGAGGUCCCGAGCGUUAGGCGGAAUCACUGGGCUUAAAGCGUGUGUAGGCGGACUUCUAAGUGCCUUGUGAAAUCCCACGGCUCAACCGUGGAACUGCUUGGUAUACUGGUUGUCUUGGGCCAUCUAGGGGCGAGCGGAACAAACGGUGGAGCGGUGAAAUGCGUAGAUAUCGUUUGGAACGCCAAUGGUGAAAACAGCUCGCUGGGGAUGUGCCGACGCUGAGACACGAAAGCCAGGGGAGCGAACGGG